rnacentral:rRNA from 1 species
UACGUAGGGUGCAAGCGUUGUCCGGAAUUAUUGGGCGUAAAGAGCUCGUAGGCGGUUUGUCGCGUCUGCUGUGAAAACGCGAGGCUCAACCUCGCGCCUGCAGUGGGUACGGGCAGACUAGAGUGCGGUAGGGGAGAUAGGAAUUCCUGGUGUAGCGGUGGAAUGCGCAGAUAUCAGGAGGAACACCGGUGGCGAAGGCGGGUCUCUGGGCAGUAACUGACGCUGAGGAGCGAAAGCGUGGGGAGCGAACAGG